CCGCAGGUACCUGGCGGAAACCAAACCGAGGGGUGCGGUGGCAAGGACAGGGUGCCUCGCAGGCUUGUGCAGGUCGGCCUUGGACCUGCACUGCCUCAGGGUGUAAAGGAUGCCCGGGGUGGGCAGCGUGGGCCUGUGAGGCCCGUGGGUGCCCGCAUCACUUGCAGCCGGCUCCGCAGGGGUCCGUUCCAGUUCCGGGUUCGGAUUGGGGUGCGCGUUCUCGGGUGCUUAUUGAGGCCGACAGGCCGGGGUUACUGCGUAACCACUGGAGCAGCUCUGGUGCUAUGGAGGUAGCUGGGGCUGGUCCUGCCACAGGGUUGUGGUAGCACUGCCUGAUGGUGUGAGACCAGAUUCUAAUCCUUAUGGUUUUCCAUGGGAAUUGGUGAUAUGUGCAGCUCUUGCUGGAUAUUUUUGCUCUUCCCUUUUUUUGUGUGUGGAGAAGUUUUAGACUGGUUAGGAGUCAGCUUUAUGUGGAAAGAGAGAAAAAAGCUUGCUGUAAUGCUUUCUGGACUAAUUGAAAAAACAAUGUAAACUAAUUAAAAAUUUUAGCCUUGUUCAAAAAGAGUAUGAAGGCCAUGAAGUAGAGUCAUCUUUAAAGGAUCCCAGCUUUGAGAAAGAGGCAACAGAAGCACAAAGUUUGGAGGCAACCUGUGCAAAGCUGAACAGGUCCAAUGUGGAACUUGAGGAUAAAAUCCUCUGUCUAGAAAGAGUUAAAAGAAGAGAAAUAGAAACAUUCUGAACAAGGUAAAUUGAUGGCAGAUAUUUCAAAAAGGAUACAGUCUCUAGAAGAUGAGUCAAAAUCCCUCAAAUCACAAGUAGCUGAAGCCAAAAUGGUCUUCAAGAUAUUUCAAAUGAAGAAUGACUGAAGAUAGCAUAAAAGACGCUUUGAAUGAAAAUUCUCAACUUCAGAAAAGCCAGAAACAGCUUUUGCAGGAAGCUGAAGUGUGUGCAAAAAAUAAGUGAGUGAACCUAAUAAACAGAAAAUAACAUUUGAAGACUCCAAAGUACAUGCAGCACAAGUUCUAAAUGAUAAAAUCACAUCAAGACUCUGACUGAACACUUGCUAAAGAUGAAAGAUUGGGCUGCUAUGCUUGGAGAAGACAUAACAGAUGAUAACUUGGAGUUAGAAAUUAACAAUGAAUUGGAAAAUGGUGCUUACUUAGGUAAUCCUCCAAAAGGAGCUUUAAAGAAACUGAUUCAUGCUGCUAAGUUACAUGCUUCUUUAAAAGCCUUAGAAGGAGAAAGGAACCAAAUUUAUAUUAGUUAUCUGAAGUUGAUAAAACAAAGGAAGAGCUUAGAGAGCAUAUUAAAAAUCUUCAGACUGAAUGAGCAUCUUUGCAGUCAGAAAACACAUGUUUUGAAAGUGAGAAUCAGAAUCUUCAACAGAAAUUUAAAGUAAUGACUUAAUUAUAUCAAGAAAAUGAAAUGAAACCCCACAGGAAAUUAAGAAUAGAGGAAAAUUACCGGUUGGAGAAAGAAGAGAAAUUUUCUAAAGUAGACAAAAAGAUCAGCCAUGCCACUGAAGAGCUGGAGACCUAUAGAAAGCGAGCCAAAGAUCUUGAAGAAGAAUUGGAGAGAAUUAUCCAUUCUUAUCAAGGGCAGAUUAUUUCCCAUGAGAAAAAAGCACAUGGUAAUUGGUUGGCAGCUCAGACUGCUGAAAGAAAUGUCAAUGAUUUUAGGAAAUAAAAUGCUCACAAAAGACAAAAAUUAACUGAAACAGGGUUUAAAUUUGAACUUUUAGAAAAAGAUCUUUAUGCACUUGAUGUUCCAAAUAUACCAUUUGGCAGAGAGCAUUCCCCAUAUGGUCCUUCACCAUUGGGUCAGGCUUCAACUGAAAAGAGAGCUUUUCUCUCUCAUCCAGCUCUGUUAGAGGGUCCACUCAGACUCUCACCUUUGCUUCUGGGGGAGGAGGAAGAGGCUCAAGAGGUCCAGGGAAUGCUCUGGACCAUAAGAUUACCAAUGAAAGAGAAGAAUCAAGCUUUGAUAUGUUAACCGAUUCUCAUAAGUCUCCUUCGGACACUUGCUCCAUUCAGAGGUUCAUUGUUUCCAGUGGAUACAAGGGGCCGGUUCAUGGGAAGAGGACCUCCUUUGCCCCCACCUCUUCCAGGAACCAUGUUUGGAGCUUCUCAAGAUUAUUUUCCACCAAGAGAUUUCCCAGAUCCACCACAUGCUCCAUUUGCAAUGAGAAAUGUCUAUCCACCGAGGGAUUUUCCUCCUUACCUUCCCCCAAGACCUGGAUUUUUUCCUCCCACCCCUACAUCUGAAGAUAGAAGUGAGUUCCCUUCAGGGUUGAUUCCACCUUCAAAUGAGAACCACAGCAAGAAACCUGACAAUAUUUUUGCUCUCUUCAAAAGUAAUUUUGAUUGAUCUCAUUUGCAGUUUAUGUAACUGCUGUUACUUAAAUGAUUACACUUUUGCUCAAAUUGAAGUUUAAUGGAAUUAUAAUUCUCAGGAUAGUAUUUUGUAAAUAAAGAUUUAAAUAUGAAUGAGUAAAUUAUUUCCAUUUUAUUUUAUUAUAGAUAACUAUUUUAAUUUUAUUAACUAAUCCACUAUUAUAUAAACAAUAGUGGGAGUUUUAUAUAUGUAACCAUGCUGGUGGGGAGGCUUUAAAUUCUAAAGGCUGUGUCUUUAUGCCAAGAACUGUAUUUACUGUGACUGUAGACACAUGUGAAAGUAACUUUAUGCUUAAUUAAAUAAAUUUUAGUUGAUU